rnacentral:rRNA from 1 species
CCUACGGGGGGCUGCAGUGAGGAAUAUUGGUCAAUGGGCGCGAGUCUGAACCAGCCAAGUAGCGUGAAGGAUGACUGCCCUACGGGUUGUAAACUUCUUUUAUAAAGGAAUAAAGUGAUGCACGUGUGCGUUUUUGUAUGUACUUUAUGAAUAAGGAUCGGCUAACUCCGUGCCAGCAGCCGCGGUAAUACGGAGGAUCCGAGCGUUAUCCGGAUUUAUUGGGUUUAAAGGGAGCGUAGAUGGGUUGUUAAGUCAGUUGUGAAAGUUUGCGGCUCAACCGUAAAAUUGCAAUUGAUACUGGCAGUCGUGAGUACAGUUGAGGUAGGCGGAAUUCGUGGUGUAGCGGUGAAAUGCUUAGAUAUCACGAAGAACUCCGAUUGCGAAGGCAGUUUACUAAACUGCCACUGACAUUGAUGCUCGAAAGUGUGGGUAUCAAACAGGAUUAGAUACCCCUGUAGUC